CUACUUCCUUCAAAAGCAUUUCUAUUUAUGGCCAGACGAACACCACCACCCAACUUCUGAAACCCUCCAAUUGGACUUUACCUUCUCUGCUCUCUUUCCUCUCCUUCUUCACACGGGCGCCCACAAAGAGAGACAGAGAGGGAGAUCAUGAUCUGGGUCUGGUUCUUCAUGCCAAGGUCAUGAUCUCAUCAUCAUUCCUGCAUUGUGCUUCUUUCUCUCCGACGUUUUGACCCUUUUCAAUCGAUACCCAUUUUGAGUUCUUUAAUUAUACUGCAAGAGGGAAUAGGAAUUCUUUGAUUCUCGUUCUAGAGUUAAGGAAACAUGGCGUCUCGGUCAUUCAGGCGUUUUGUUGAACAGGAGCUGGGCAAGUUUCCACAUUUUGUGAUCUAUGCUGUUCUCGAAUGGGUGUUGAUAGUUAUGCUUUUUAUUGAUGGGUUUCUCUCUUUCAUUGCCAACGAAUUAGCCAAGUUUUUCGAAAUGCAAAUCCCAUGUUUGCUUUGCACAAGGAUCGAUCAUGUUCUGGUCCGUAGAAACUCGGACUUCUAUUAUAAUGAUUCUGUUUGUGAAGCUCACAAGAAGGAUGUUUCGUUCCUGGCGUAUUGUCAUGUUCACCGGAAGCUUUCUGAUAUCCGGAGGAUGUGUGAGCAAUGUCUCCUUUCCUUUGCCACGGGGAAAGAAUCUGAUUGUGAUACAUAUAAAUCUCUGGUUGGGAUUCUGCAUAAGGAUUUUGAGUGCUUUGUUGAAGAUGAUCACGGAGUUAAUUUGAAAUUGCCUGUCGGAAAGAAGGAUGAAGUUGUGCACGUUGAGAAGAGUAGUGAACUUCGGUGUUCGUGCUGUGGGGAACCCCUGAAGAUGAAAUCGUCCUUGCCUAGGAGCAGUGUUAAUCGCUCUGUAACAAAUGGAAAUCAUCUUUCACAUGUUCCCGCACCUACUCCUCGGGCAUCCUUCGUGACAUUGAAGAAUGAGGAGUCUCGGAGCUCAGAAUUGCCCCACAUUCAAUACUCUGAACUCAAGUUUAUGUCAGAUAAUGAAAUGACGGAGGAGGAGGAAGGCUCAAAUGCAUUCAUUGCAGCGGGCAGAGAAGAUGCCAAAGCUGCUACAGUGCCAUUGCUAGCAGAAUCUGAAUAUUUAAAUGAAGUGUGCAAGAGCCCCAAUUUCCAUAGAGGAAACAAGUUCUUUGGAAUCCCACUCACUGAUUCGGCUACAAAUAGUCCAAGGUGGACUACUAGACUUCUCAGGAAGUCUCCGCUUGAAAAAUCGGAGUUGGCUUCAGAAUCAAUUGAGGGAAAUUCAACAAAUGAAAUAGAUUGCGAGUCCAUCUUGCAUCGUCUGAAGCGACAGGUUCGAUUGGAUCGCAAGUCGCUGAUAGCUCUGUACAUGGAACUGGAUGAAGAAAGAAGUGCUUCUGCCAUUGCUGCAAACAAUGCGAUGGCCAUGAUCACACGAUUGCAAGCAGAAAAGGCUGCUGUUCAGAUGGAGGCCUUGCAGUAUCAGAGAAUGAUGGAGGAGCAGGCAGAGUAUGACGAAGAAGCACUGCAAGUAAUGAAGGAUUUGCUUGCCAAGAGAGAGGAAGAAAUGAAAGAUUUAGAAACUGAGAUUGGAACUUAUAGAGAAAAAUAUGGGUGCAACGGGAAAGUAGGUACUGAGGGAUGUGAUGACCGGGCUGCUAACGAUUACCAAGAGUUGCAUUCCCAAUCGUAUUCAUCCUUCAGUGAAAAAUCUGAAUGUGGCAGCCCUUCUUCUAGUUUUAGUGAAGGGGGAAAUAAUGAAGAAAAUGAGCAUAAUUCUGGUCGAGCUGGGUCAUUGCAAGAAGAGAAUGGAAGGGGGGUCCUUGAUGAGUCUAUAUUGGAUUUUGAAGGCGAGAGAUUAUAUCUUUUUGAUCACUUGAAAAAGCUGGAGAAGAGGAUGAAAACUGCAGAUGAUGGGGUGCAAUCCUCACUAUCAAGUACAGACUUGGCUAGUCAUGAAAAGGAAGAUAGAGGAGAGGGAACUAGUGCCUUCAUUGCAAGAGAAAUAUCCUAUCUCAGUGAGAGAUUGAGGGCCCUCGAAGCAGAUAGUGGAUUCUUAAAGCAUGCUGCUAUGACAAUUCAGAAGGGUAAUGACGGAACACAGCUUUUGACAGAGAUAGCUCAACACUUGCAGAAGCUUCGGCAUUUGGAGAAAAUGACCAGGAAAGAUGUUGCUGCAUGAUUUUCAUCCUAAUAUUUCAUGGAUUCUUUUUCUUAAAGUUUUAGGAUGUAAAUACAUUUAUUCCUAUUCUGGAAAAAAAAAUUGGAACUUCUGGUUUUGAAGCUUCAAGGAGCUGUAGAUAUUUUCUUCCUUUUUUUGACUUUGGGUGCAAGAAGCUGAUGCUCUAGUCAGAGAAGGGAGAAAAUGCAGCACAGAUAACUUCAUAGAUCUUAGAGGAAAGCUCAAAGAUGUUGGACCCUAAUGUCUCUUGGAACUGUUCAAAAUACCAAGUAGCUUGAGUGAUAAUUUGUUUCUCUUCUCACUCUCUUGCUUCAUGCAUGAUCAACUUUGUUCUGUUAAUUGAUGAAUUCUCUUUGAGGAUCAAGACUACAUGUUUAACAUUUUUGUGCAUUAUUGACCCAUCCUGCAAGUAGAUAUGAUUGUGUGGACUGGAUUUGGCAAGGCAAUCCAUAUUUCAAGAAUCAAACAAGUUUUCUGAAUUUGACAGC